AUUGAACGCUGGCGGCAUGCCUUACACAUGCAAGUCGAACGGUAACAGGUCUUCGGAUGCUGACGAGUGGCGAACGGGUGAGUAAUACAUCGGAACGUGCCCGAGAGUGGGGGAUAACGAAGCGAAAGCUUUGCUAAUACCGCAUACGAUCUCAGGAUGAAAGCAGGGGACCUUCGGGCCUUGCGCUAUCAGAUGAGCCUAGGUCGGAUUAGCUAGUUGGUGGGGUAAUGGCUCACCAAGGCGACGAUCCGUAACUGGUCUGAGAGGAUGAUCAGUCACACUGGAACUGAGACACGGUCCAGACUCCUACGGGAGGCAGCAGUGGGGAAUAUUGGACAAUGGGCGAAAGCCUGAUCCAGCCACGCCGCGUGUGUGAAGAAGGUCUUCGGAUUGUAAAGCACUUUAAGUUGGGAGGAAGGGCAGUAAGUUAAUACCUUGCUGUUUUGACGUUACCGACAGAAUAAGCACCGGCUAACUCUGUGCCAGCAGCCGCGGUAAUACAGAGGGUGCAAGCGUUAAUCGGAAUUACUGGGCGUAAAGCGCGCGUAGGUGGUUUGUUAAGUUGGAUGUGAAAGCCCCGGGCUCAACCUGGGAACUGCAUCCAAAACUGGCAAGCUAGAGUACGGUAGAGGGUGGUGGAAUUUCCUGUGUAGCGGUGAAAUGCGUAGAUAUAGGAAGGAACACCAGUGGCGAAGGCGACCACCUGGACUGAUACUGACACUGAGGUGCGAAAGCGUGGGGAGCAAA
rnacentral:rRNA from 1 species